GAUGAACGCUAGCGGCAGGCUUAACACAUGCAAGUCGAGGGGUAUAGGUUUUCGGACCUAGAGACCGGCGCACGGGUGCGUAACGCGUAUGCAAUCUACCUUUCACAGAGGGAUAGCCCAGAGAAAUUUGGAUUAAUACCUCAUAGUAUAGCAGUUUCGCAUGAAACCACUAUUAAAGUCACAACGGCAAAAGACGAGCAUGCGUCCCAUUAGCUAGUUGGUAAGGUAACGGCUUACCAAGGCAACGAUGGGUAGGGGUCCUGAGAGGGGGCUCCCCCAAACUGGUACUGAGACACGGACCAGACUCCUACGGGAGGCAGCAGUGAGGAAUAUUGGACAAUGGGCGCAAGCCUGAUCCAACCAUGCCGCGUGCAGGAUGACGGUCCUAUGGAUUGUAAACUGCUUUUGUACAGGAAGAAACACUGGUUCGUGAACCAGCUUGACGGUACUGUAAGAAUAAGGAUCGGCUAACUCCGUGCCAGCCGCCGCCGUAA
rnacentral:rRNA from 1 species